UUAUAUUUACCAAUCAGAUGAAAAUAUUUUUUAUCUUUCUUACGUUUGGUACUGUGUAAUUAGAAUUAUAUACGGUAUUAUAUAUUGGGUUAAUUUGCAUACUAGAUAUAUUGAGGGACAAUAUUAACAAAAUAUGUAAUAAAGUGGGUGAUGGAUGAGACAAUUUGAAAUAAAGUUGGACAAAACUAUCUUUUUAUGCUUGUGUGCUUGCAUCUUAUGAAAUGUACAUCUUAUGUAUUAUACUGCAUAUAUUACACAUACAGUAUAGUUCAAACAACUAAUAUCAAUAUGUAUAUUAAUCAUUUGGUUUAUUCGUUUUAAUAACUGCAAAAGAUUUUAGAAAAAAAAAAGGAAAUGUGAAAGAAGAGAGUAAGCAGGAAGAGAUAGAGCAAGAUAGGAAAAAAAAAAAAGAAAUAGAAGGAGAAUGAAGAGAGAGAAAAAAGAAGAAGAAUGAAAAUGAAGUGAAGAAAUAAGUAGGAGGAGGGCAAGAAGAAAAGUGAGAAGUAUAAGAAGGAGAAUGAGAAAAAGGCAGAAAAAAUGAAAAGAAGAAAAAUGUUUAAUAUACUAUAUUAUUUUAAUAAAAUAAAAUAUUAUAUUAUAUUUAAAUAGCAUAUAAUAUGAAGGCGACAAUGCAAAAAAAAAAGAAGUUGUUUUAUAGCAAUAUUAUAUGGGAGAAAAAGGUGAGGGAGGAGGCAAAAAGGAAAAGGAAAAUGAAAAUGAAAAUGAAGAAAAUGAAAAGAAAAAAUGAGAAAGAAGAUGAAGUAAAAAAGAAACCACAAAAAUGAGAAUAAGUGUCAGGAGGAUAGAUAGAAUGAUAAAAAAAAGAAUGAGAAAUAUGAAGAGGAAGAAAUUGAAUCACAGCAAUAUUAUAUGGAAAAAGAUGUGAAAGAGAAGGAAAAGAAAGAAAUGAAAAGAAGUAAAAGAAAGAGAAAAAAAACGAAAAUCAUGACGAAGUGAAGAAAAAUAAGAAAGAGGAGGAGAUAUGAGGAUCAUAAGGAGAAUUGAGAGAAAAAUAACGAUGAUAAUAAGAAAUGGAAGAAGAUGAGAUGAAAAUAAAGAGAAUGGAAAAAAUUUAUAACAUAUUAUAUCGUGUCCGUAAAAUAGUAUAAUAUCCCAAUGGAUUUUAUUUCGAUUGAAAAUUUUACAAAUGGAUAUUUAUGUAUUUUGAAGGAGUAUGUUAUAACACUACGAGUUCAAAUUAACAGAGUUUUGAAAAACAAUUUCCAAUAGAUAAUGCAAGUUUCCUCUAAUU
rnacentral:lncRNA from 1 species